rnacentral:rRNA from 1 species
UACGUAGGGUGCGAGCGUUGUCCGGAAUUACUGGGCGUAAAGAGCUCGUAGGUGGUUUGUCGCGUUGUUCGUGAAAUCUCACGGCUUAACUGUGAGCGUGCGGGCGAUACGGGCAGACUUGAGUACUGCAGGGGAGACUGGAAUUCCUGGUGUAGCGGUGGAAUGCGCAGAUAUCUGGAGGAACACCGGUGGCGAAGGCGGCAUCCUGGACCGGCAUUGACGCUGAGGAGCGAAAGCCAGGGGAGCAAACGGG